GUAGAAUCAUACAUUCCAAGAUAGAGAAUGAUGCUUCACAAGGCCUAUCUCGUCUUCCUUCUUUUCCUAGCCCUUUCAUCUCACGUGAUCAUCUCUUCAAAGGUUGCUGCCGCUGCCCGUCCGGUGAGCAACGGGGGAAGCAGAUCCCCGGUGAUGGCGGUGAGCAAGAUUCGUGUUGAUGGAAGUACAUCCCAGCAUGCCCCUUCAGGAUAUACUCCACCGUGAGCUUUCAAAUGAUCCACGACUAUUAAAUUUUCUAUUCGAUUGCUCCUAAUUUCCGUUGGUGUUUUAUGGAGACAAAGCAAAUGUAAUUCACUUUCGAUCCUAUCCAUGGUUAAGUAGGGUUUUCCACAUACUUCUGUUGAUGGAGCUCAAAUGAAUUCCUUGAAUACACUGUCAAUGGCAAAAGAUUUUAGUUUGGUUUGUUUA